rnacentral:tRNA from 1 species
GCGGGAAUAGCUCAGUGGUAGAGCAUCUCCUUGCCAAGGAGAGGGUCGCGGGUUCAAAUCCCGUUUCCCGCU